AGGGUAUAGCUCAGUGGGAGAGCGUGUGCUUAGCAUGCACGAGGUCCUAGGUUCAAUCCCUAGUACCUCUA
rnacentral:tRNA from 1 species